AAAAAUGCAAUACUAUAAAUUAAAUUACAAACCCAUGUGGCCUAAAGACAUCAAAGCAUGUGCAGAUUUUUGAGAGUUAUUCCCUAAGCCUUGUGCAAUAUAGAAUAUAAUAUUAAGGUUUUGUUUGUAUUAUUAUAUGUUUAUGUAUUUAUUCUGCUUACCUGACUCGUGCAGAAGUCUGUCCUGAUGUUUGGCUGUGCUCUCUCCAUCAUCCAGCUGGUCUUUGUAUGGAAGCCACCAUGAUCUAGUUGUCUAGUUGUCUCUUCUCCCACAAACUCCACUUUCAGGAGCUCCUGCAAGCUGGUGGUCAUAUUGGUGAAUGAGAAUGGAGGAGAUUUGCAGACCCCCAUUGAGAUGUUUCUCUUCCUUCUGAGCUGAUUACAGAUGUUUCACUGCUGUCAUUGGCAUGAUUAUCAUCUGACAAGAAUAUUGUGUAAUUUCUAUGCUUGUGCCAUGAUUGUCCUUUGAACUUGAAUAUUUGUAUUCAUUUGUUCUGGUUUUUGUGUUUUUCACCACUGUCCUUUUUUAAUACAUAUUAAUUGAUAAUGUCCUAUACUGCUGUAGUAUUUAGACAUUUUGAGAAUUGCAUAACACAAAUCAGUGACUGUACUUUUUUUUGUGUGUGUGUGUGUGGUGUGAAGAACUAAAUGUGUCAUGGUAAAUUAAAUAUGUUAAUAAGAGGGUUUCUGUG